AAGACGGCUGCAAGUCAUUGGCGCCCUCCGCAUCCACCGGUACGUCUUGCACGCGCACGCCCCCGCCCCCACUAUAGCCGCAGACCUCCAUAUGCCGGAGUACGAUGGCAGCAACGACGGACUACUUCGACGCCCACCAACUGUUCGACCUGAUGUCAAGACGGUUGCAUGGUAAAUUUACUUCAAUUCAGUCUAGACAUUGCUUUACUAUACUCCUUAUUUUGUGUUCUUUUAAAAGUUUUGAUUUUUACCAUAAACAAUUUUCUAGGUCAUGUACUACAGAUUGGUGCCAACUUCCCAUUUUGCUAUUUAUUGGUGCCCUUAGUUCUUCUUUUUGAUCAUGUUUAUAUUUUUCAUUUCAGUUCUGGCCCACCAUAAUCUAUGCUAUACAGUAAUUUUAUAUGUUUGUAUUGCCUAAAAGAUUUAGCCUCUAUGAUGCAUGCACGAUGAUGAUAACCGAGCUAGGGCAGGUUGUUGGCUGAUUGACAUGGUGCAGCGAGUAGCUGUGCAGAGUUUGAUAUGGUCUUCCUCAAUAAUAAGCGUGCUUGUAUAUAUCAAUUUACCUUUUGUAUUUUCAUGAAGUGAAUCCUUUAAUUGACUAAUAUUGUUACAAGUUCAGUUCUGUGAUAUAGAAAAAGAUAAAGAUAUAUUAUUCUUCUCCCUCCCUCCUCCUCUCCAUUCUUUCCACAUCUUACCCGUCUGUAGUUUAGUUUCAGGUUAGCAAAGCAUCUAUAACACAGUUCUGGUAUGGUAUGCUCUCUAAUUAAAGUGAGGCUGAGUGAAAGUUCACUCUUGGUACACAUUUUAUGAUUCCAUCUUUCUCACUUUGGUAUUUGCACAAGAUCUGGAUAGCUAAUCAUGUAGCUGUAAGUUUAUAAAUUGUUGUUCACAUGAAUUUUACCAAUUGAGAUAUAGUGAAUGGUGGUCUCAUUCUAAGUUUUUUAUUCCAAUAUAUAUGAUUUGAUAAAAGAGUACUAUCUCAAGUUUAGUCUACACACAUCUUGUGAUAGGACCAGUGUAUGAUAUACAAAAUAUCCUGCUCUAUGUAAUAUUUUUUCCGUGAAAAGUACAUCAGCAAAGGACGGUGUCCAUUGCAAUUUGUAUGUUAUUUCGAUUGGAACCUCGAAUAACAAGACAUUGUCACGGUUCAGAAAAUACAAAACACCACCUUAACACAUCAGAAAUACAUAGCAAAUAUUUCAUCAAAAAUGAAGCUCUGUUAUCACAAAUUCCAAGUGACCAUAUUGAGAUCAAUAAAAGUAGCAUAACUGAUUAAUUUGAUAUUGUUGAAGGGAUAAGUUCGUGUGGGGUGCGGCAUAGCUUCGGAGGGUAUCGAGGGAUGACGCCUCCACUCCAUUCAUGCUUCUGGCAUAUGCCAAAUACUAAAAAACAGGUACUAUUUUUUCCUCCCAUAUUUGUGGUUGUCUACUGGCUAAUGCCUAUAUAACAUCCAGUGCAAGGACACUGGCGUUUCUCCGAAUUUUCUAAUCUCACUUGUGUAUACAGGAAUUAGGGUUGAUUAUUUGUAAGAGAUAACCAGAUUAAAAUGGCUUACAUAAUUGGGUACGACCGAUACCUACUGAAGCAUUCAUCUGUACAUGAUCUGCUUUUCUCUAUGAUUCGUCGGAUUUGUUCUCAACUCUAUAUUCUUAAUGAGGGACUAUGAGGUGCUCUGCUUUUUCGUCAAGGGGAGAAGAACAUGUACGAGUAGAAAGGAAAGGGUGUUAUGUUUGCACAAGGCGGGGGAAACCGUACAAGCAAUCAUCUAAGGCUCCGUCCGGAGUGCAGGUACAAAAAGCGUAGGAAAGGAAAACUGCAUAGGGAUCGGACUGAAUGAACAGUUGAAAACUUUGGAACUGGAAAAAGAAGGGAAAGUAUCAAUGUAGAGCGGAGCUUGCAUUCGGAUGGCCAGAGAGAACGCAUGAAGACCAAGUAAUGAAUAGUAGCUAAUACAAUAUUUUAUUUGCACUGUACUUGUCGUUCUCUUCUUACACCUCAUGAACGGCCACAGGAUUGAAUACUUUAUUUCCUCUGCUCUUCCUCGGGGCUCCGCCCAAAAAUGAGCCCCGUGUGGAUUUGUUCAUUCCUGUAAAAUCUGCAUACCUGACGAUCCUUUCCGAUGGAAUGUUGAGUACCUUUCCUUCGAACCGAACAGCUAAAAGGAAAGAAAACCUACAAAAGCAAAUUUUCCUUUGGAAUGGCAGCAAGUCCCAUGAAUCGAACGGGGCCUAAGACUAUGUCUCCUUUGCCUCACACAGGAGGCAAAUAUUCUCUUUGAUCACACUAUUAAUGUCAAUAGCCGAGCAUGUUUGAUGCGGAAAUUACCUGCCUCAUUAGUACCAUAACAAUUAGUGCUUGCAAUUUUUUAACCCGAAGUAUUCACAAUUCUAGGUGAACUUGUGCCUUCUCCAUGUUAUUUGUUGAAUUUUUAUAUGUUCCCUUUUGUUAUCUCUUGUUGCUAGAGCUUUACCAUGUGGAGUUGUCUUAAGUUAUCUGUGUCCGGAAUUAAAUCCUUGUUCUCUGAACAAUAUUGUCCACUGCCUCACGGAUAUGAAUAUCAGGGCUUUGCUUAGAUAGACUGAAUAUCAAUUGAUUUGGAAUUGGUAUAGCAUAUCUGCAAGUUUUAUUUAACCUCUUACCAAUGUAUUUGUGUGCAUUUUCAUUUGUUCAAUACUUUGUUGGAUUUUGAAAUGUUCAGCCCUGAAGUAAUGUUGAUUAUAGCCGUCAUUCUGACGUGUUUAAUUUUGCUCUUUCUUUCUCAGGAUAGUUAUGUUUUUUUUCCUUCUUUGCCAAAAACCAUUGUUGUUCUUCAGAGAGGAAAUGUAUCGUCAAUGAUGCUACUUGUUGAUAUCAUGAGAUGAAGAAAAGAUUGCAUCGCUAAUAACUUCUUUUUUCUGAGUGGUAGACCUGUAGAUAUAACAUACUCGGUGUAAAACUUAUUGAUGACCCUUUGUCUUUCUUGAUACCUUCAUAAGUGAGUCCGAACACUAAGAUCAUAUGUGCUAAUACUUGUGUAGCAGAGUAUGAUCUCAUGGAGAUACACAUUUUUUUAUAAGUGAUGUGUUACAUUUAUGAAAGGUCUUUGGCCCAGUUCAUGGCCAUCAACUU
rnacentral:lncRNA from 1 species